CAGGGAUCGAACUCUGGUCCUUCUGCUUGCAAGGCAGGUGGUGGAACCACUGAGUUAAAUCCCUGGCAAUAUUGUUUAUAUAUAAAAAAGUUUUUAAAAUAUUUUUUUUCUCAAAUAUUUAUCUAUGAAAUGAUAUGAUAUCUGGAAUUUUCCUGGGAAAAGGAAGGAUGUAUGGAUUUGGAUGGGUUGAUGUUGUAGCUGGGUGAUAGGUACAGGUAGAUUGAUAGUACUCUUUUGUGCAACAUUUCUGUAACAGAAGUAUUCUGUUGACCUUCAGAGACCUUCAGCACUUAUUUUUGGAGACACCACCCCAUGUCAUUCUAGCAAAUGAUAAUGUAUCCUUAAGAAUAAAUGUCCUUAAAAAUAAGAACCAAGAUGCAUUAUGUAAAGGUACAAUUCCCAAUGAGAAAUGUAAUUGUGUUGUAUACCUACAAUGUACCAAUAAAAGAAUUUAAUUUAAAAAAACCGAAUAAAUGUCCUUAAUAUGCAAAUAUUGACUUGAUAAAAGGUUACAUUUGGUAAACAUUUUUGUUAGGUCUCAACAUUUGCACAGGCCAUUGACUGAAUACCUGGAAAGACAUGGCAUUGUGCCUAGAGCACCUGGUGGAUGAAACACCCCUGGAGCAAGGGCUCCCAGCAGGUUUCCUGUGGGGGGGAAAGGGGGGACACCUACCCAGCUCAGACACAGCAAGGAGGGCUUCUGCUGCUGAUGCUGGCCCUUGUACCCACCCACAUCUGGCACUGUAGAUAUUCUUGGGCAUCCCAGAGAGAAGGGAAGGGAGGCUGCUGUGGGGGUGACCCGUCUCCCCUGUGUGCCCACUUCCACCUGCAGCUCCUUUCCACCACCUUCAUUGUGCUGGUAGUAGGAUGUGGGGCUUUGGGGAGUGGUUAGAUUUACAUGAAGUUUUGGGGUAGUGUCUCCCUAAAGGAGUCAUGCCCUCUAUAAGAAGACACUAGAGAACACUGCCUCCCCAUUCCUCUCCCUUUUUCUUUCUCCCUUUCUCCUUCAGCUAUAUAAUGGCACCACCAGAAAAUGGUUGCUAAAGCUUCUAAGAAAGGAAGGAGGUGGUUUCUGAAAUCCUGUGAAGAGUGUCGUGGCCUUCAGCAACUUGUGAUGGAAAAGAACAUUUGGAGUCUGAUAAAGCCAUACUUCUUUUUUUUUUUAUUGGUCUAUGCAACUUUAUUGAAGAAAAAUAAAUCAAUUACUAGUAGAGCUAUUAGUUGAUCACUCAUACCCUGACAACUUGUAUCAUUUACUCAGUGCUAUAUUAAACAAUGUAUUGGAAGAUAGAUUAAUUAAUAGCUCCAAGCCUCCUAACAAUUUAAAUGAAAAUUACAAAAUGUUUUGAGACCCUAUUUUGGAAUACAAAGGGUGUUUGAGUUCCAAUUUCCAUUCUAUGUAGAACAAGAACAGGUCAUUCCUUUAUUGACAUGCAUAAAAUAUAUUACAUUUUCUGUACUGCCAAUGCUAUAAAUUCAAUACCAAUUCUCCAGCCACAUCAGUUAUGAGGGUAAAGUAUAUCAUGUAAACGCAAAUCUCUAAUAGUAGAAGGCUUAACAAGGAUGGACGCUGCUAGAAUAAUGCUGCUUCCUUGCCAUGACAACCGAGCAUCCAUCUCCCACCUCAGCUGGCUUCUUCAGUAGUUAGAGCUGUGAGGAAUGGUUUAGUCUCAUAACGAAGUUAGAGUGAAGACACAGGCCACAUAACACACAUGUUCCAUUUUUUAAAAAAAUUCUGAAUCUUGGGCAACUGUUCUCUUGUAACUACUUUACAGUUUCUAAAAGCAGUUAUUGUGCCCCAGAGCACUGAGGAGGUGAGACUCUUAGGCCACUGUAUCACUGUCCCAGAGUGCCGAGGAGGUAAGCCUCUUGAGCCACCAUACUACUGCCCCAGAGUGCCCAGGAGUUGAGCUGCAUGGGUGCCAGCGUGCGCGCACACACACACACACACACACACACACACACACACACACAGAGCUGUGCUGAGUCAUUACCUGGAACCACACCACAGAGUUGCAGGGGUCAUAAAGGACAUUGUUCUGAGCUUGAGAAGAUACAGUAGAGGUGAACAACAGAAAGAGGACCUCUCUGAGGCCUGUUGAUGAAAAUUAAAGCCCACUGGAAAAAUGAAGAAAAUCUCUGCAAUAAAGGCACACCAGACCACCUUAGUUGGGGGAGCAGCGGUGUGGACCAGAGCAGUGCGGGUGCAAGCAGAUCCCAGCCAGGGAUCCACCCUGACCCCAGAAGGUGGGGCACACCUGCCCAAGCCAAGGGCCUGCCUGGAAAAGAGCUAUACAGGCACACAAGCAACAGCCAGAGGUUCACCCCAAUACCAUCAGUAAGUGCGCGAGACCCUAGCCAGAAGCUUGCUCACACAACAGGAACUGGGGUGCAUAGCCCCCAGCCAAAGGCUCUCCCAGACAACAGGGGCCCUAGCCAGUGACACACAUAGAUACCAUCCCAAGUGUGCACAGGCCCCAGCCAGAAGCCCACCCAGAUAACAGAUCAGCUCAGAGAUCCAGAAGGCCACCUUUCUGUACCCGGGAAUUAGUGGACUGGUCAAGCAACAGAGAAAAGGCAGCUCUGUGUCUUGCUGAGAAUUAAAGACCACUGGGUGAGCAAAAAGUUGCCUCAACAAAGGCAUAGCAGGCUGCAUCUGUUGAAAUGAGAAGACAAGUAAACAAGUCUCAGAACCAGACUUCCAGAUCACCUGAGGCAACCCCAAAGGGAAACAAGAUGUAACAAUCUGAUACUCAACCACCUGGAAUCCCUGAACUGGGAACUAAAGAGGAUCUGGAAAAAAUGAAAUCAGAAAUAAUUUCUCAGAUAACAGAAGAGAUUGUGCCCAUAGUGCAAGACAUGAUUAAUAAAUCUCGAGAGGAAACAGAUAAAAAAAUAGAGGAGCUGAGGAACAUGAUGGAAUCCCAACAUAGGAAACAAAUGGAAUCCAUAAAACAGAUGCAAACAGAUUUCUAGGAGAUUAAAAACUCCAUUGAAAGUUUACACAGCAGAAUGAGCCAAUGUGAGGACAGAAUUUCGGAUAUAGAAUAUAAGACUGCAAUUAGUGACCAGGAAAAGAAAAAUUUCUUUAAAAUUGUAAGGGACCACGAGAAAUCAAUCCAGAAGCUGCUGGACGAUGCAAAGAAGAAUAACAUAAGACUGACUGGAGUCAAUGAAGAAACAGGAGAGAGUGUAGACGACAUAAAAAAACUGUUCACAGAAGUGAUGGCAGAAAACUUCCCAAACAGGGGAAAAGAACUUCACAUACAGAUAAGGGAGGUAUAUAGGACUCCAACUAGCCUUGAUCAAAAAAAAAUCUACACAUAGACAUAUAAUUGUUAAGAUUCCAGAAACCCAACAGAAGAACAAAAUUCUACAAGCAGAGAAAAGAAACAAAUCACAUACAAAUGAAAGCCCAUUAGAAUCACAGCAGACUUCUCAGUAGAAACUCUCAAGGCAAGAAGAGCUUGGAGUGACGUAUUUCAAGUCCUAAAGGAAAACAGCUUCCAACCCAGAUUGAUGUACCCUGCAAAACUCUCUUUCAAAAUGGAUGGAGAAAUAAGAUACUUUUAUGACAAAGAGCACCUUAGGAACUAGCACUCCAAAAAAUUUUAGACAAUAUCCUAGGAAAAGACAAUGAGGAUCACAACCCCAGGAAGCCCAGCAGAAUGAAUCCAUUGGGCACAACAAGAAAUUAAACACAAAGAGGAAGAAUCCAACAAAAAGAAAAAGUCAUGACAAUAAGUCAAUAUAUAUCAGUUAUAACCAUCAAUGUUAAUGGUCUCAAUUCACCAAUCAAAAGAAAUAGACUGGCACAAUGGGUCAACAAGCAAGAUCCAACAAUAUGCUGCAUACAAGAAUCACACUUAAUUUAAAAAGAAACUCAUAGACUGAAAGUUAAAGGGUGGAAAACAACACUCCAUGCGUCAGGAACCUGAAAAAAAGCAGGAGUAGCUAACCUCUUUGCAGAUCAAGUGGAUUCCAAACCAAAACCUGAAACACUUCUUGUCCCAAGAAUUUCAGAUAAGGGACAGUCAACCUGUAUGUGC
rnacentral:lncRNA from 1 species